AAGAAAUUAGUUAAAGUAUAACAUUAGAUUGUCAAGCUAAAAUUACUAAUAAUUAGUAUUUCUUA
rnacentral:tRNA from 1 species